rnacentral:rRNA from 1 species
GACGAACGCUGGCGGCGUGCCUAAUACAUGCAAGUCGAGCGGACGAAUCGAAAGCUUGCUUUUGCUUCGUUAUCGGCGGACGGGUGAGUCACACGUGGUCAACCUGCCCUGUAGACGGGGAUACCACCGAGAAAUCGGUUCUAAUACCGGAUAACACGUCAUGUCUCAUUACGUUUCGUUUAAAUACGGCGCGAGCUGCCGCUACAGGCUGGGCCCGCGGCGCAUUAGCGAGGUGGUGAGGUAAAGGCACACCAAGGCGACGAUACGUAGCCGGCCUGAGAGGAUGAACAGCAACACUGGGAGUGAGACACGGCCCAGAAUCAUACGGGAGGGAGCAGGGGGGAAUAUUGGACAAUGGGCGAAAGACUGAGCCAGCAAUGCCGCGUGAGUGAUGAAGGCCUUAGGGUUGUAAAGCUCUUUUACCCGGGAUGAUAAUGACAGUACCGGGAGAAUAAGCUCCGGCUAACGCCGUG